AAGUUUUCUCAGCUAUGAAAAUGAGGAUCACAUCUUACAGGCUUAUUAGGAUUAAGUGAAGGAAAAGUGCGAAGCACCUGACAAGGCUCUUGACAUAUGGUAAGUGCUUGAUAGAUAUCUCCAUCCACCUUUCUUACGACGGAUAGAAGCCUCUAACAUAAUAUCUGCUUGAAUGAAGACAGAUACCGCGCCCCACAUUAUUUGAGUACAUUUGUUCUUCAGAAAACAAGCCAAAAAUAGGUUAUAGGCUUGGCACUGUGAGAUUCUUGGGACACAAAUAGUAGUGAAAUAGAGGCUUUGUCUUCAAGGAAUUUGCACUGUGGUUAUGAAAAUAGCUGAGUAAGCUGACAAUUAUAGGACAGUGUGGUAUGUGCUGUGACAAAUUACACAGGAGGGAAGGCUUCUUCAGAGGAGAUGGGGCCUGAGCUCAACUUUGUGGUAGCAUUUUAAAAAUUGUUUUUGGUGCUAAUGACUGCUUAGGAAUUAAUUUUCCCAAAUUAAGCUGCACACAAUGGGAGGGGAUUAAAGCAGGUAACUCCCAAAGUCCUUUUGAAUUCUAAGAUUACAUGAAAACUGUUCGAAUUAAAGUCAAAUGAUUUGAUUACCAAAGUGGAAUUAAUGUUGGCUGAAUAAGCCCAGAAUGACACCAAUGUAAGGAGUAAAAUAAGUGAGCUAAAGUGAGUUUUUUUAAGUCAUAAUUAUGCUUUGUUGCCUCUUUAAGAAGUUGGAGAAUCUAUGCUUGUGAGCUCAAUAAAGAUAAACCAAAUAAAUCUACUCCUUUAAAACAGUGGUUGGUUUCUGGGGGAAAAAUGUCUGGCAUUAAUGUAUUUAGUCUGUAAACCACCAGAUGUCACUGUCUCCCAAGUAAUGACCCAUUACAUUUUUUUUUUUUUUUUCAGGUACAUUUUUGAACAUUGACAGACAAGCUGUGACAGAUUGAUGUCUGGCUUGUAAUAUUGACUCUGUAAGAAGGCUAGGAUCUCACAGGAAGUACUUGUCAGAGGUGUGUAGGUUUGUUCCAUCUUGAUUUUUUCUCUUUUUCUUUUUUCUUUUUCAGCUACACCCAUGGCGUAGGGAAGUUCCCGGGCCAGGGACUGAAUCCGAGUCACAUCCGCGACUGUGCCACACCUGCAGCAACGCCAGAUCCAUAACCCACUGCCACAGGGACAAGCCAGUUUAUUAACCCAUGGCGCCAGAGUGGGAACUCCUCCAUACUGAUUCUAGAUAUAUGAGCUCUGUCCUCUAUUUGACGUAUUGAAAUUAACCUGGACACUCUGGAUUUUUUCCUGUGUUUUCAAGAAAAGUGAAAGUGGUAAAAAAUUCUCUAAAAUGUCCUCUCUGAUCCUGACUUCCUCCCUCCCACGUUUUCAGGUUGCAUUAUUAUGAUGCAACUAUAUCAUAAUACUACAUUUAUCAUCAGGGUUUCUGUGUUUUAUCUCAGACACAAUCUAAGAUAUAUUUGAAGUCAACUUUCAUGAUGCAUAGAGCAAAACUGGAAUGUUUCCAUGCUAUAAUAAUGUUGGAUGAAGUGAACAAGUAUUUGCCCAAUUUACACACAAAUAGGGAUAUCCACUGAACCAAUAUAUACCAAUAUAUAGUGGGCAGUAACACAUUAAAGAAAAAAGUUAUCUUUACUGCCAGAAAACAUGCUCAAAAAUUGGUAAUCGAGUAUCUUGUGUUGGGGGCUGUGGGCAUGGGAUUCUCCAAGACAAAAGGGUUAGUAAUUUGGUAAAGGCAGCCGUGACAGCCAGCGGAUGAAUAGGUGGAUAUGAUUUCUGCUUCAAUUCUGCCCAGUACCUCUAAAGAACUAAGUACUUCGCUCAUUUUUCUCUGUGCCCAUUGGCUUCAACAGUAAAGUGAUGUAAUUUGCCUAGCCUAAUUCUCUAGGUAGUUAUAAUCUCAAAGGAGCAGUGAAGGAUGAAGUUCACACAUUUCAUAAAUAUAAGGAAUUCAUAUAAAUUCUAUGAAAAAUGCAAAAUACUCAAAUUAUUCCAUGCUGUGAAAAGACAUCCUACAUUUCUGUAUUUUGAUUAUUUGACUUUAUUUAAAGUUUUUGUUAGUAGGUAAUUUUUGCCUUAACUGGGAAAAAUUCAUUUUCAUUAAUUGGGAAAAUUUUUAAUUUUUAUUAAUUGGGGAAAAUAUUUAAUUAGUUACGUUGAGGAAUGGAAUUUGGAACUUACUGUGUUUCGAGGGUGUUCAUGUAUGCCGCCUUAUGUUUGUAAAGCAUUAUAGAGAGGUUUUUUUUUUAAUAAUGGUCUCUCAAUUCUAAAGUUAAAUUACAAGAGAAUUUGGCAUUUGACCAGCUCAGUGCAGUGCGGGGGCCCAUCCCUGGUCCAUCUAGCAGUGUCAGAGGGGAUGGGAAGCAAUAUAACAUAUAUGGGACUUCCAGAGGCCUGUUGCCAUAAAAGAGGAGGGGGACGAGAAGGGGAGGAAAGUUCCCUGAGAAGGAGGAAUUGCUAUAAUCUGGGCAAGCUCCUCGAAAGAUAUCCUAGUCGGUAUUAUUUUCUGAAGGGAAGAGGUUUUUUUCUGUACAGAAUCAUGGGAGGUCACCAAAUACAUGUUAAGGGCUGGAUUUUUUUCCUAAUGAAUAUUUGGUCUGCAUAUCCCCAGCAUAGACCAAAGCUUUAGUUUUGCGGCCCUUGUGUUUCUCCUCCAUACAUAAUUUCCUCUGCCUUUGCUGUGUUUGAUAUUUUGAGAUGGGGACUGCAUGUUCUACUGCUCCUCUGUAACAACUAAACUGUAUAAAUUUAGCUCAUGAUCAUUGUUCCAGCCUUGUUUUCUACCAUGAAGUACACUCAUCCAGCUCUGACACUCUGCAAGUUUCCCCAGGUGCCAGGCUCUCUCGUACAAAUCUUUGAUCCCACGUUUUUUUUUAUUUUAUUUGCCUCACUCUUUCUCAUCCCUGAAAGCUUAAUGCUAUUGUCCCCUCUUCUAGGAAACCCUCUCCCAUUCUCAUUUGCAAGCUAGUUAGGUGUCCUUACCUGUGGUCCCAUUGCCAUGUGUUGUCACUCACUAUACCAUACAGGUUCAUUCAUUUUCUUGUUUAUUCCUUCAAGGGAAAUACCACGGUUCAACCUCUAUCACCAGUGCCUGAGAAAGGGCUGCCACAUUGUAGGCCCUCAAGAGAAGGAACAAGUGAAUAAAUGAAUAAAAUGAGCCU
rnacentral:lncRNA from 1 species